GAUGAACGCUGGCGGCGUGCUUAACACAUGCAAGUCGAACGAUAAAGCCCAGCUUGCUGGGUGGAUUAGUGGCGAACGGGUGAGUAACACGUGAGUAACCUGCCCUUGACUCUGGGAUAAGCCCGGGAAACUGGGUCUAAUACCGGAUAGGAGCGCCUGUCGCAUGACGGGUGUUGGAAAGAUUUUUCGGUCAUGGAUGGACUCGCGGCCUAUCAGCUUGUUGGUGAGGUAAUGGCUCACCAAGGCGACGACGGGUAGCCGGCCUGAGAGGGUGACCGGCCACACUGGGACUGAGACACGGCCCAGACUCCUACGGGAGGCAGCAGUGGGGAAUAUUGCACAAUGGGCGGAAGCCUGAUGCAGCGACGCCGCGUGAGGGAUGACGGCCUUUCGGGUUGUAAACCUUCUUUUCAGUAAGGGAAAGAA
rnacentral:rRNA from 1 species